UGGAGAGCGAGGACUUGAUGAGUUCAGGAUUAGUGCCUUUGGGGAGCAAAAAUUCUCUGUUGUAUUCACGAUAAACAGACCUGCUGUCACUCUUCUCUUCAUGUUUGGCAUGAACCUGUUGGAAUGAAAUAGUACAAGCAAGGAUUAGCGACCAGUACGCAGCCUGUCGUGAUGAGGACGGCGAUCUCCCAUAAUGACCGGUCAUAUAAGGUCAUAUGUCGGUUACCGUCCAGUAGACCACUGGUCGCACGAUCAACGCCAUCCAAUCUGUAGGCAUUGGCAAGAACAACACACCGAUGGUCUGCCACAAGACGCCACUUGGACGCCGACAGAUACCACAGUGGUUGGUGUCUUGUAUGUGUCAUAUAAAAACCUGCACAGUCUGGGGCAGCGAUCACACCUUUACCUCUACCUUUCAGCAUACACGACUCUUUUAUUACUGUCGCUCCACCCACAAUGACCUGACCUCAUUUAGUCUCCUCCAAUCGUUGAGAGCGGUGGCGGUCUGCACUCAACCCAGACACAGACAGCAGCCAAUAGGACGGGGAACAGGUGCCAACCAUGUGGCCAAUAGACCGCCACUAGAUGGCCACCGUGCAGUGAUUGGACGGUGUCCAUUUGCCGUCCAGCCUACCACCGGUCACUGCACAACUCGCCGUGUGGUGGGAGACCAGACGCCGACCACGGCCAGUAACAAAUGCAAAGUGGAUGCCAAACAUUGACGACCACCUCCUACCUGAUAGCAACCAGAUAGCAUUCACUUGCCUUCUGGUAGCCGUUCACCAAUUAACCGUCAUCUGUCAGCCAAUGGUGGCAAUCCACUUGCCGUCCAGACAGAGUCCAUUCGGCCAUCGGACGGCAACCUUUUUACGACAGGCAGAGACUUGAGAGGUCGACUGGAGCCGUUUGGUGCAGCACCAAUAACCUCCAGCCAACCUUUUCAGUUGCACGGCGGACGGAGACACAUGAUGAUCGCACGCACAACCAUGUGAGACCUCCUGCGACCUGUAGGUCAUGGGAGGUCGUCAUUAGAUAGUAAAGUCAGUGUAACCAGGAAAUUGAAAGAACAAACCCAUACUCGUCUUGGUGAUGUGUCGCUCCAUACAGUGCAAGAAACUUUGCAACAUGACCUUGGUUGCAGGUGUUAUUUCGUGUGGAAGAAGCCACUAAUAAAUGACCUCCAAAGGAAGAGGAGGCUUCAUUUUGCCCAGCAAUGUAAAGAUCAGUGAUUGCUGGUAUUGUUUUGCCACCUGUUUGUUUUCCAUCCAUUAUGUAAUCCAGCAAAAAAGGGCAGAAACACAAGAAUGUAGGUGAAAUUUCAGGCUAAAUUGUUCAAGGCCAUACAAACUGUCAACCCCCACAGGAGGGAAGGGAGAGAAGGAGACCUUUCCCUCACACCAGUGAAUGAGAAAAAAGAUGCACGUCACUGCCUGACACACGAUUAAUGCCUCUUGCAUUUUAAUGAUGGUAUGAGAGGUAAAUAUGAAAUUGUGCGGAAAAUUUCAAUGUGCAGACUCUGGCGCAAGAAUCAUCCGUGCAAACUGCACUCUUGGAAGAUCUACUCCUAUUUCUCUACUUGUUGACAGUAUCUAGUAAUACCCCUGUCCCGUUAUUCACAGGGGUUAGGGGUCACACACCCUACAAAUAUCAAAUUUUUGCAAAUGUUUGGUGCACCCCCCAAAAAAGCCUUUCCAAGUCCCUAUUAGUGUCCAUGUCUUACAGCCAUAGAGCAAGGCUGAGAGCACAAGUGACUUGAAGAUCUAUAACACCAUAAUGACCCUUUACUGGAAACAGCAAUCAUAGUUUGACAAAGCUUUUGUAGAAAGUAAAAAACAUGCAGCAGAGGUGACAGUGGCCACUCUUAUUAACUAUGACAACCCCUUUGUUCACGCUGUUCAGCAUAAUGUACAUCCCCCUGGCACGGCUUGGUCUUGGUCUUGGUUCAGGCCACCAUUUUGGCAAAACUUAUUAGCUGAGCUUAAUUGCUGUUGCCAUUACAAAGGCAAUGCCGCCUUCAUGACUGGACUUCUGGUAAAGUUGCACAACACUGCAUUGCUGAAAGCUCAACUGAAUGCAGGACAGGCCUACUCUGGAGGUGGUGGAAGUGUGGCGCUGGUAUUUCAAAUCUUAUGCCGGUCAGAUAUUCAUAAUUUUUCAAUGAUUUUCCUUGCAAUUUUUUGAAACUUUGACGAGACAGAUUUAUGCCGGAUAUUUGGAGUUUCCAGAUACCCAGGGGCAAGAUGAAGGGUUUUUAAUCUUAUUUCAGGUAUCUUCAUUAAGACAUUUGAUUCUGUAAGUGCAAAUUAAGUUUUUUUAAUAAUUAAUUGCAUGUAAAUUACAUGGGUAAUAUUCACAGUAGCAUGAAAUAUUAUUAAAUGUGAUACCAGGCUACUUCAAAUAUUACCUCUGUAAUUUACAUGCAACAAAUAAUUGAGAUAUAUGUACUACCUUUUAUUUGCAGUUACAGAGCCAGAUGUUUCAUUAUAUGGGUGCCGUUCACAAAAGUAACUGUUCACACAUCUCAACGGGGCUCUGGAGUCAACAAACCACACCGCACCCCUCCGUUGAUACCGAAAGACAGUCUUUUUGCCUAAAUGGCAUCCUUUUGUGGCAUGCUGGGGUGUGGCAAUAAAUGGAACAAGUUCCCCAAUAAGUCAUUCUACAGACUACCAGCUGUGGACAAGAUACAAGGACUGAAAGGAGAGAAAAUAACAAAAGAACGCUGACAGCAGUGGUUGGGCAACUUGUCGAGUGGUUGGCCAGUCUGUCGACAGGUUGCCAGCCACUCCCUUCAGCGUUCUCGUGUUAUUUUCUCUCCUUUCAAUCCCUGUCUCUUGUCCACAGCUGGUAGUCUGUAGAAUGACUUAUCGGGGAACUUGUUCCAUUUAUUUCCACACCCCAGCAUGCCACAAAAGGAGGAGGAAGUGAUACAAAGUGGAGUAGGUCAAAAGAAGAAGAAGAGUGAUUAGUUUUGUUGGUCCUCCAGAGCUCGGCCCGAGCUUGAACUUGACGAGUUGUGCACGGCACCUAUACCUGAAAUUAUAUUAUUUGCAGAUAAGGCUGUACAUGAAGGGAUUUAAAUUCAGUUAAAAAAAAAGCAUGUAAAAUGAUUCUGUAUUAAAAGAAGAAAGCCCUGGAAGACCUUAAUAUCAGAGGUAGACACUGUGUGAAUAAAUGUAGCCUUUGACUUUACGCAUUAAAUACAAAACUUGU